rnacentral:rRNA from 1 species
AAUAUAAAAGAUAUCAUGUUGAAUGCACCAGUUCUCAUCCAAUCACCAAAGUUAAGUAAUGUUAAACUGAGUUAGUACUUAGAUGGGUGACCACUUGGAAAACCUACAUUCUGUGAGC